rnacentral:rRNA from 1 species
GUUUGACCUCGGAUCAGGUAGGAGUACCCGCUGAACUU